rnacentral:rRNA from 1 species
AGUGAACGCUGGCGGUAGGCCUAACACAUGCAAGUCGAACGGCAGCACAGUAAGAGCUUGCUCUUACGGGUGGCGGGUGGCGGACGGGUGAGGAAUACAUCGGAAUCUACUUUUUCGUGGGGGAUAACGUAGGGAAACUUACGCUAAUACCGCAUACGACCUACGGGCGAAAGCAGGGGAUCUUCGGACCUUGCGCGAUUGAAUGAGCCGAUGUCGGAUUAGCUAGUUGGCGGGGUAAAGGCCCACCAAGGCGACGAUCCGUAGCUGGUCUGAGAGGAUGAUCAGCCACACUGGAACUGAGACACGGUCCAGACUCCUACGGGAGGCAGCAGUGGGGAAUAUUGGACAAUGGGCGCAAGCCUGAUCCAGCCAUACCGCGUGGGUGAAGAAGGCCUUCGGGUUGUAAAGCCCUUUUGUUGGGAAAGAAAAGCAGCAGGUUAAUACCCCGCUGUUCUGACGGUACCCAAAGAAUAAGCACCGGCUAACUUCGUG